UCGCGCUACCAUGCAGUCGAGCGAACCUUCGGGUUAGCGGCGGACGGGUGAGUAACGCGUGGGAACGUACCCUCUUCUGCGGGAUAGCCACUGGAAACGGUGAGUAAUACCGCAUACGCCCUUCGGGGGAAAGAUUUAUCGGAGGAGGAUCGGCCCGCGUUGGAUUAGGUAGUUGGUGGGGUAAUGGCCUACCAAGCCUACGAUCCAUAGCUGGUUUUAGAGGAUGAUCAGCCACACUGGGACUGAGACACGGCCCAGACUCCUACGGGAGGCAGCAGUGGGGAAUCUUAGACAAUGGGCGCAAGCCUGAUCUAGCCAUGCCGCGUGAGUGACGAAGGCCUUAGGGUCGUAAAGCUCUUUCGCCAGAGAUGAUAAUGACAGUAUCUGGUAAAGAAACCCCGGCUAACUCCGUGCCAGCAGCCGCGGUAAUACGGAGGGGGUUAGCGUUGUUCGGAAUUACUGGGCGUAAAGCGCACGUAGGCGGAUUGGAAAGUUGGGGGUGAAAUCCCAGGGCUCAACCCUGGAACUGCCUCCAAAACUCCCAGUCUGGAGUUCGAGAGAGGUGAGUGGAAUUCCGAGUGUAGAGGUGAAAUUCGUAGAUAUUCGGAGGAACACCAGUGGCGAAGGCGGCUCACUGGCUCGAUACUGACGCUGAGGUGC
rnacentral:rRNA from 1 species